rnacentral:rRNA from 1 species
UAGGGAAGUCUUCGGCCAAUGGGGGCAACCCCUGACCGAGCAACGCCGCGUGAGUGAAGAAGGGUUUCGGCUCGUAAAGCUCUGUUGUUAAAGAAGAACACGUAUGAGAGUAACUGUUCAUACGUUGACGGUAUUUAACCAGAAAGUCACGGCUAACUACGUGCCAG